CCAUGGAGUGGUACGUUUUUGUCAUGCUCCUUAUGAACCAAGAGAGUUUUUUUUUCCGCGCUUAUGCUUCUACUGCUCACAAGAUAUGCUGCCACGGUGAUGGUCGCGCUUCAGCAUCACACUGAAGCUCAGCUUCGUAUAAUCAUGUGCGAAGAGGAGCAGCUAUUGGCAACACCUGGGUGGACACUUGCGGAAUGGGCGCUAAUGCACGGCUUGCAGGCUACAGGUCACACAGAGCGUCGGAUAUGGAUGCGUCAAAGGUCCGACUCCUGGUGGGAGAACAUGUGCACAAAUCAACAGUCCACAACUGCCUCUAUCGGUUCUGUAACACAAUGACAAAACAUUUCCUAAGACAGUUGAUCACUAUGCCAAAAUGUGAUGAAGCAAAACUCAUAGCGCAACGUUUCUUGGAAAAGUGUGGAAUACCUCAGGUUAUAGGCAGCAUUGACGGCACACAUAUUCCUAUUCUCCCACCAU